UACGGAGGGUGCAAGCGUUGCUCGGAAUUAUUGGGCGUAAAGGGUAGGUAGGUGGUCUCAUUUGUCAGAGGUGAAAGCCUUGGGCUUAACCCGAGAAGUGCCUCUGAAACGGUGAGACUGGAGUCCUGGAGAGGGUCGUGGAAUUCCCGGUGUAGCGGUGAAAUGCGUAGAGAUCGGGAGGAACACCAGAGGCGAAGGCGGCGACCUGGACAGGUACUGACACUCAACUACGAAAGCGUGGGGAGCAAACAGG
rnacentral:rRNA from 1 species